rnacentral:rRNA from 1 species
UACAGAGGGUGCGAGCGUUGUCCGGAAUCACUGGGCGUAAAGCGCACGUAGGCGGCUUGUUAAGUCAGGGGUGAAAUCCUGGAGCUCAACUCCAGAACUGCCUUUGAUACUGGCGAUCUUGAGUCCGGGAGAGGUGAGUGGAACUGCGAGUGUAGAGGUGAAAUUCGUAGAUAUUCGCAAGAACACCAGUGGCGAAGGCGGCUCACUGGCCCGGUACUGACGCUGAGGUGCGAAAGCGUGGGGAGCAAACAGG